rfam:Ovis aries breed Texel chromosome 2, whole genome shotgun sequence.
UCCCUGGCAGUCCAGUGGUUAGGACUCUGCACUCUCAAUGCUGAGGGCCUGGGUUCAAUUGCUGGUUUGGGAA